UGGGGAAUAUUGGACAAUGGGCGAAAGCCUGAUCCAGCCAUGCCGCGUGUGUGAAGAAGGUCUUCGGAUUGUAAAGCACUUUAAGUUGGGAGGAAGGGCAGUAAAUUAAUACUUUGCUGUUUUGACGUUACCGACAGAAUAAGCACCGGCUAACUCUGUGCCAGCAGCCGCGGUAAUACAGAGGGUGCAAGCGUUAAUCGGAAUUACUGGGCGUAAAGCGCGCGUAGGUGGUUCGUUAAGUUGGAUGUGAAAUCCCCGGGCUCAACCUGGGAACUGCAUUCAAAACUGACGAGCUAGAGUAUGGUAGAGGGUGGUGGAAUUUCCUGUGUAGCGGUGAAAUGCGUAGAUAUAGGAAGGAACACCAGUGGCGAAGGCGACCACCUGGACUGAUACUGACACUGAGGUGCGAAAGCGUGGGGAGCAAAACAGGAUUAGAUACCCUGGUAGUCCACGCCG
rnacentral:rRNA from 1 species